UACGAGGGGGGCAAGCGUUGUCCGGAAUUAUUGGGCGUAAAGGGUGCGUAGGCGGUUUGACAAGUCUUAUGUGAAAUCUUCGGGCUCAACCCGAAGUCUGCAUGGGAAACUGUCGGGCUUGAGUAUGGGAGAGGUGAGUGGAAUUUCCGGUGUAGCGGUGAAAUGCGUAGAUAUCGGAAGGAACACCUGUGGCGAAAGCGGCUCACUGGACCAUAACUGACGCUGAGGCACGAAAGCUAGGGGAGCAAACAGGAUUAGAUACCCUGGUAGUCCUAGCCCUAAACGAUGAUUGCUUGGUGUGGCAGGUACCCAAUCCUGCCGUGCCGAAGCCAACGCGAUAAGCAAUCCGCCUGGGGAGUACGGUCGCAAGGCUGAAACUCA
rnacentral:rRNA from 1 species